AGUGAACGCUGGCGGUAGGCCUAACACAUGCAAGUCGAACGGCAGCACAGUAAGAGCUUGCUCUUACGGGUGGCGAGUGGCGGACGGGUGAGGAAUACAUCGGAAUCUACUUUUUCGUGGGGGAUAACGUAGGGAAACUUACGCUAAUACCGCAUACGACCUACGGGUGAAAGCAGGGGAUCUUCGGACCUUGCGCGAUUGAAUGAGCCGAUGUCGGAUUAGCUAGUUGGCGGGGUAAAGGCCCACCAAGGCGACGAUCCGUAGCUGGUCUGAGAGGAUGAUCACCCACACUGGAACUGAGACACGGCCCAGACCCCUACGGGAGGCAGCAGUGGGGAAUAUUGGACAAUGGGCGCAAGCCUGAUCCAGCCAUACCGCGUGGGUGAAGAAGGCCUUCGGGUUGUAAAGCCCUUUUGUUGGGAAAGAAAAGCAGCAGGUUAAUACCCCGCUGUUCUGACGGUACCCAAAGAAUAAGCACCGGCUAACUUCGU
rnacentral:rRNA from 1 species